rnacentral:snoRNA from 1 species
UCGAGAUGAAUAAGAUGUUUGAUAAUGAUGAAGCAUAGACUCUGUUGAUACAAUCCUCUCUAGACAAAAGUGGCGGAGAGAGCAGUCCUUAGGGGAGAGCAUCACAGGGCUGACUGUGCUAUUCAUCAUUC